rnacentral:snRNA from 1 species
GCGCUCGCUUCGGCAGCACAUAUACUAAAAUUGGAACGAUACAGAGAAGAUUAGCACGGCUCCUGCGCAAGGAUGACACACAAAUUCGUGAAGCGAAAAAAAUAAAA